CAAGUUUUUAAGGGCGCACGGUGGAUGCCUUGGCACCAGGAACCGAUGAAGGACGUGGGAGGCCACGAUAGGCCCCGGGGAGCUGUCAACCGAGCUUUGAUCCGGGGGUGUCCGAAUGGGGAAACCCGGCAGUCGUCAUGGGCUGUCACCCGCUGCUGAACACAUAGGCAGUGUGGAGGGAACGCGGGGAAGUGAAACAUCUCAGUACCCGCAGGAAGAGAAAACAACCGUGAUUCCGGGAGUAGUGGCGAGCGAAACUGGAUGAGGCCAAACCAGUCACGUGUGAUACCCGGCAGGGGUUGCGUGGUUGGGGUUGUGGGAUCUCUCUUUUGCAGUCUGCCGGCUGUGAGGCGAGUCAGAAACCGUUGAUGUAGGCGAAGGACAUGCGAAAGGUCCGGCGUAGAGGGUAAGACCCCCGUAGCUGAAACAUUAGCGGCUCGUUUGAGAGACACCCAAGUAGCACGGGGCCCGAGAAAUCCCGUGUGAAUCUGGCGGGACCACCCGUUAAGCCUAAAUAUUCCCUGGUGACCGAUAGCGGAUAGUACCGUGAGGGAAUGGUGAAAAGUACCGCGGGAGCGGAGUGAAAUAGUACCUGAAACCGUGUGCCUACAAGCCGUGGGAGCGUCGCUGGUGAGUUUACUCAUCAGUCGUGACUGCGUGCCUUUUGAAGAAUGAGCCUGCGAGUUUGCGGUAUGUUGCGAGGUUAACCCGUGUGGGGAAGCCGUAGCGAAAGCGAGUCCGAAUAGGGCGUGGAGUAGCAUGCUCAAGACCCGAAGCGGAGUGAUCUAGCCAUGGGCAGGUUGAAGCGGAGGUAAGACUUCGUGGAGGACCGAACCCACCAGGGUUGAAAACCUGGGGGAUGACCUGUGGUUAGGGGUGAAAGGCCAAUCAAACUCCGUGAUAGCUGGUUCUCCCCGAAAUGCAUUUAGGUGCAGCGUCGUGUGUUUCUUGCCGGAGGUAGAGCACUGGAUAGGCGAUGGGCCCUACCGGGUUACUGACCUUAGCCAAACUCCGAAUGCCGGUAAGUGAGAGCGCGGCAGUGAGACUGUGGGGGAUAAGCUCCAUGGUCGAGAGGGAAACAGCCCAGAGCAUCGACUAAGGCCCCUAAGCGUGUGCUAAGUGGGAAAGGAUGUGGAGUCGCAGAGACAACCAGGAGGUUGGCUUAGAAGCAGCCACCCUUGAAAGAGUGCGUAAUAGCUCACUGGUCAAGUGAUUCCGCGCCGACAAUGUAGCGGGGCUCAAGUACACCGCCGAAGUCGUGUCAUUGCGAUAUUACUCCUAACGGGGAUCGUGAUGGGUAGGGGAGCGUCGUGUGCCGGGUGAAGCAGCCGUGGAAACGAGUUGUGGACGGUUCACGAGUGAGAAUGCAGGCAUGAGUAGCGAUACAAGAGUGGGAAACUCUUGCGCCGAUUGACUAAGGGUUCCUGGGUCAAGCUGAUCUGCCCAGGGUAAGUCGGGACCUAAGGCGAGGCCGACAGGCGUAGUCGAUGGACAACCGGUUGAUAUUCCGGUACCCGCUUUGAAGCGCCCAAUACUGAAUCAGGCGAUGCUAAGUCCGUGAAGCCGCCCUGAUCUCUUCGGAGUUGAGGGGAGUGGUGGAGCCGACGGACCAGACUUGUAGUAGGUAAGCGAUGGGGUGACGCAGGAAGGUAGUCCAGCCCGGGCGGUGGUUGUCCCGGGGUAAGGGUGUAGGCCGUGUGGUAGGUAAAUCCGUCGCACGUUAAGGCUGAGACCUGAUGCCGAGCCGAUUGUGGUGAAGUGGAUGAUCCUAUGCUGUCGAGAAAAGCCUCUAGUGAGUUUCAAGGCGGCCCGUACCCUAAACCGACUCAGGUGGUCAGGUAGAGAAUACCGAGGCGUUCGGGUGAACUAUGGUUAAGGAACUCGGCAAAAUGCCCCCGUAACUUCGGGAGAAGGGGGGCCAUUUCUGGUGAGGGAACUUGCUUCCUGAGCUGGGGGUGGCCGCAGAGACCAGCGAGAAGCGACUGUUUACUAAAAACACAGGUCCGUGCGAAGCCGUAAGGCGAUGUAUACGGACUGACGCCUGCCCGGUGCUGGAACGUUAAGGGGACCGGUUAGCUUGGAUUCGUUCAGGCGAAGCUGAGAACUUAAGCGCCAGUAAACGGCGGUGGUAACUAUAACCAUCCUAAGGUAGCGAAAUUCCUUGUCGGGUAAGUUCCGACCUGCACGAAUGGCGUAACGACUUCUCGACUGUCUCAACCAUAGGCCCGGUGAAAUUGCAUUACGAGUAAAGAUGCUCGUUUCGCGCAGCAGGACGGAAAGACCCCGGGACCUUUACUAUAGCUUGAUAUUGGUGUUCGGUUCGGCUUGUGUAGGAUAGGUGGGAGACUGUGAAGCGCCAACGCCAGUUGGUGUGGAGUCGUUGUUGAAAUACCACUCUGGUCGUGCUGGAUGUCUAACCUGGGUCCGUGAUCCGGAUCAGGGACAGUGUCUGGUGGGUAGUUUAACUGGGGCGGUUGCCUCCUAAAGAGUAACGGAGGCGCCCAAAGGUUCCCUCAGCCUGGUUGGUAAUCAGGUGUUGAGUGUAAGUGCACAAGGGAGCUUGACUGUGAGACUGACGGGUCGAGCAGGUACGAAAGUAGGGACUAGUGAUCCGGCGGUGGCUUGUGGAAGCGCCGUCGCUCAACGGAUAAAAGGUACCCCGGGGAUAACAGGCUGAUCUUCCCCAAGAGUCCAUAUCGACGGGAUGGUUUGGCACCUCGAUGUCGGCUCGUCGCAUCCUGGGGCUGGAGUCGGUCCCAAGGGUUGGGCUGUUCGCCCAUUAAAGCGGUACGCGAGCUGGGUUUAGAACGUCGUGAGACAGUUCGGUCCCUAUCCGCUGUGCGCGUAGGAGUCUUGAGAAGGGCUGUCCCUAGUACGAGAGGACCGGGACGGACGAACCUCUGGUGUGCCAGUUGUUCUGCCAAGGGCAUGGCUGGUUGGCUACGUUCGGAAAGGAUAACCGCUGAAAGCAUCUAAGCGGGAAGCCUGCUUCGAGAUGAGGGCUCCCUCCUCCUUGAGAGGGUAAGGCUCCCAGUAGACGACUGGGUUGAUAGGCCAGAUAUGGAAGCACUGUAAGGUGUGGAGUUGACUGGUACUAAUAGGCCGAGGGCUUGUCC
rnacentral:rRNA from 1 species